UACGGAGGGUGCAAGCGUUAUCCGGAUUUAUUGGGUUUAAAGGGUCCGUAGGCGGACUCGUAAGUCAGUGGUGAAAUCUCAUAGCUUAACUAUGAAACUGCCAUUGAUACUGCGGGUCUUGAGUAAGGUAGAGGUAGCUGGAAUAAGUAGUGUAGCGGUGAAAUGCAUAGAUAUUACUUAGAACACCUAUUGCGAAGGCAGGUUACCAUGUCUUAACUGACGCUGAUGGACGAAAGCGUGGGGAGCGAACAGG
rnacentral:rRNA from 1 species